ACAGCGCGAGGCUCCGUGAGAGAGCGUGGGGAGAGAGCGCCAGGAGAGUGCGGGGGGAGCGCGAGUCGAGCCCCAAGGCUCGGGACUCAAGAAGAGGAGGAGGGGGGGCGACCCCCACAGAGUUCGCGGCCUCGCGGCUGCAGAAGCCACCGGGAGGGGAUAGCGGCCCCCGCGUCUCUCGCUUCCCCGGGCCAAGCGCAGGUCUCACAAUAACCCGUAGGUCUCGCGCGGAGCAGAGCCACGGCGGUCCAUCUCCGGCGGGGCAGCUCCCCCUUUCCUCUGUGCCGCCUCCUCCACGGCUGCGACCAUGUGGCACGAGGCGCGCAAGCAGGAGCGCAAGCUGCGGGGCAUGAUGGUGGACUACAAGAAGCGCGUCGAGCGCCGGCGCGAGUACUACGAGAAGAUC